rnacentral:rRNA from 1 species
AGCGAACGCUGGCGGCAGGCCUAACACAUGCAAGUCGAACGGAUCCUUCGGGAUUAGUGGCGGACGGGUGAGUAACACGUGGGAACGUGCCCUUUGGUUCGGAACAACUCAGGGAAACUUGAGCUAAUACCGGAUGUGCCCUUCGGGGAAAGAUUUAUCGCCAUUGGAGCGGCCCGCGUAGGAUUAGCUAGUUGGUGGGG